UGUAGCAGAAGAACCUGCUGGAUUUUCUGGCACUGGCCGUUACAGCUCCUGUUUCAACGCCACUUCUGAGCCAUGCACCGAGGAGGUAAUGAGCAACAGAAUUAAGCAGGAAGGGAGAAGAAAGACUGGAUACAGCCUGGGGAGACAUUUCGAUGAAUCCCCAAUUAAGCACUAUCACUCCUCUUAAAGGGCACCGUAAAAAGCUUCAUCAGAAAGAAAACAAGAUCUUCUGAUUUCCCCAUCUAGUCUAACACACAAGCCAAAAGCAGAAAGGCAACACACCAACAGCAACUAGUAUUGUUGCUGCUGCUCUCAUCAGCAUGCUAUCCUCAGCAAAGAGGUACACAGCAUGGGAGUAGUAACCAGCUUGGCGAAGCACCUUGAUAGCCGUUUCCACAUCAAAGUGGACCUCACUCUCACUCGUCUCCAAGAACAAAAGCAGAGAGAUGGUCCCUCAGAAAAAUUAUAACAGUCCAGAAGCAGUAAUCAUAUAUGUCAGAGGAGGAAAACAUGAGCAGCAACAAUCAUGGUACCUCUCAUGCAAGGGAAAAUCACCCAUGCAGAAAGGAAGGAGUCUAACCACUUCUCAUUUGCUUGCCAGUUGCAUUGGCAGAAGCAAGCACACUCCAGACCCAGAUGGCAAACCAACCAAACUGAGAAAGUAAGCAAGAGCUUGGAAAUAAAGAAGCAAAGACCAGG